CCUACGGUGGGCAGCAGUGGGGGAUAUUGCACAAUGGGGGAAACCCUGAUGCAGCGACGCCGCGUGGGCGAAGAAGUAUUUCGGUAUGUAAAGCCCUAUCAGCAGGGAAGAAGAAAUGACGGUACCUGAGUAAGAAGCACCGGCUAAAUACGUGCCAGCAGCCGCGGUAAUACGUAUGGUGCAAGCGUUAUCCGGAUUUACUGGGUGUAAAGGGAGCGUAGACGGCAGCGCAAGUCUGAAGUGAAAUGCCGGGGCUUAAACCCGGAACUGCUUUGGAAACUGUGCAGCUAGAGUGCAGGAGAGGUAAGUGGAAUUCCUAGUGUAGCGGUGAAAUGCGUAGAUAUUAGGAGGAACACCAGUGGCGAAGGCGGCUUACUGGACUGUAACUGACAUUGAGGCUCGAAAGCGUGGGGAGCAAACAGGAUUAGAUACCCGGGUAGUC
rnacentral:rRNA from 1 species